GUAGGGAAUAUUGCACAAUGGAGGAAACUCUGAUGCAGCGACGCCGCGUGAGUGAUGAAGGCCUUCGGGUCGUAAAGCUCUGUCGCAGGGGAAUAACACAAUGAAGGUACCCUGUAAGAAAGGAUCGGCUAACUUCGUGCCAGCAGCCGCGGUAAGACGAGGGAUCCUAGCGUUGUUCGGAAUCAUUGGGCGUAAAGCGGAUGUAGGUGGCUAUGUAAGUCAGAUGUGAAAGCCUGGGGCUCAACCCCAGAAGUGCAUUUGAUACUGCGUAGCUUGAGUGUCGGAGAGGUUACUAGAAUUGUUGGUGUAGUGGUGAAAUACGUAGAUAUCAACAGGAAUACCGGAGGCGAAGGCGGGUAACUGGCCCAAUACUGACGCUGAGGCGCGAAAGCGUGGGGAGCAAACAGGAUUAGAAACCCUGGUAGUCC
rnacentral:rRNA from 1 species